rnacentral:lncRNA from 1 species
AUACAUUUGAAACAUUAGAUUAUCUGAAUUUUAUUUUAAAAGUGAACAAUAAUUCUGUUCAAUUAUUAAAUAAGCUUUUUUAAUUUUUUUUUUUUUUUUUUUUUUUUUUGGCGGAGAGAAGAAUUGGCAAGUAACAAACCAAGCAAGAAUUUCAAUGGAAAAUUACAGAGAUACUAACAGGUUUGAGUACUUAUAAAUACAAAAUAAAUAAACGGAGUUAAAUUACUUUAUUAUUACAAUGCAGAAAUGAGGAAGUGUAAUAGCCAGCUAGUCUUGGAAUAUGGCACUGUGAAUGAAAUGAUUAAUUGCAUAUUCAUCUGGUCUCAGAUACAGGACAUUCUCUUGCAUAGGUUAAAUGUAUUAAUGGUAGAGAAUUAUGCAAAAAAUACUCAUUUUCUCCAAUACCAGAACAUACAGGAAGCAAGUAAAGGUAAUUUCACAAUUCAUCUAAUUUCUUGUACUACUAAAGAAAAGUAAAACUUGAGGAUCAGUAGUGGCCAUGGUAUGGUUUGACUAUGUCCCCUCCAAAAUCUAGUGUUGAAACUUAAUGACCAUUGUGAUGGUAUUAAGAGGUGAUUGAGUUGUAAGAGCUCCUUCCCUCAUGAUACGAUUAAGUCCCUCAUAAAAGAGGGCUCAAGCAACAUUAGAUUUUCUUGUGUCUGAAGCUAUGUGAAGCCAGAUGAGGACACAGUGUUCUUGUCUUCCGGAAAAUAUAGCAAGAAGGCAUAAUGUUGGAAGCAGAGAGUAGCCUUUGCCAGACAACAGAUCCUACUGGUGCCUAGAUCUUGGACAUCCAGCCUCCAGAACUGUGAAAAAAAUAAAUUUAUGUUCUUCAUAAAUUAUUUGGUCUCAGAUAUUGUGUUAUAAUAGCACAAAAUGGAGUAAGGCACCAUUAGUUUUUUAUUGGUGUGGAAACUGUAGCUGAAUAGGUUUGCUGAUUUAUUUCCAGAAACAUACGACUAAUGGAAGUUUUCAUUCUUAACGAAACAGUCUUUCCCCUGUAUUAUUUUCUACAUUCCCAAUCCAGAGGUAUAAUGAUAACAGGAUCACACUUCUAGGACAUAGAUCUUAAAUGCAUGUUUUGCUCAAAACUACAUUUUCAAAAAUAAAAAAAAAAAACGAUGUUUUGCAUCUUCUAAGAUCUAAGAAUAUUAUCUGUGAAAAUAAAUUGCUUAUGUGCUUGACAAUUUAGUACCACAUUGUAAAACCAUCUUAUAGACUAGUGAUAAAAAAGAACAAUUGAUAAGUAAAACAUUUUAGUAC